CAGCCGCCGCGGUAAUACCGGCGGCCCGAGUGGCGGUCACUAUUAUUGGGCUUAAAGCGUCCGUAGCCGGGUUGGGAAGUCCUCCGGGAAAUCUGGCCGCUUAACGGUCAGAAUGGCGGAGGAUACUCCCAGCCUAGGGAGCGGGCGAGGCCGAGGGGAUUCCCGGAGUAGGGGGGAAAUCCUAUAAUCCCGGGAGGACCACCUGUGGCGAAGGCGCUCGGCUGGAACGCGUCCGACGGUGAGGGACGAAGGCCAGGGGAGCAAACCGGAUUAGAUACCCGGGUAGUCCUGGCUGUAAACGAUGCGGACUUUGUGUCGGACAAGCUAUGAGCUUGUCCGGUGCCGGAGGGAAACCGUUAAGUCCGCCGCCUGGGGAGUACGGCCGCAAGGCUGAAACUUAAAGGAAUUGGCGGG
rnacentral:rRNA from 1 species